GGAUAACACUUAGGAAUAGGUGCUAGUACCGCAGUAAGCGCACAGCUUCGCAUGAAGCAGUGUGGAAAACAAAAAGCUAAAGCUUUUGGUGGUAUACGAUGGAUCCGCGUCUGAUUAGCUGGUUGGCGGGGUAAAGGUCCACCAAGGCGACGAUCAGUAGCCGGCCUGAGAGGGUGAACGGCCACAUUGGGACUGAGACACGGCCCAAACUCCUACGGGAGGCAGCAGUGGGGAAUAUUGCACAAUGGGGGAAACCCUGAUGCAGCGACGCCGCGUGAGUGAAGAAGUAUUUCGGUAUGUAAAGCUCUAUCAGCAGGGAAGAAAAUGACGGUACCUGACUAAGAAGCCCCGGCUAACUACGUGCCAGCAGCCGCGGUAAUACGUAGGGGGCAAGCGUUAUCCGGAUUUACUGGGUGUAAAGGGAGCGUAGACGGCAGCGCAAGUCUGGAGUGAAAUCCCAUGGCUUAACCAUGGAACUGCUUUGGAAACUGUGCAGCUGGAGUGCAGGAGAGGUAAGCGGAAUUCCUAGUGUAGCGGUGAAAUGCGUAGAUAUUAGGAGGAACACCGGUGGCGAAGGCGGCUUACUGGACUGUAACUGACGUUGAGGCUCGAAAGCGUGGGGAGCAAACAGGAUUAGAUACCCUGGUAGUCCACGCUGUAAACGAUGAUUACUAGGUGUUGGGGGACCAAGGUCCUUCGGUGCCGGC
rnacentral:rRNA from 1 species